GAGAUAGAGGUGCAAAGCUUAUGAUUCGUUUUCCCGAGCCGCUCAGACGGCGCUGACGGAAAAUCAAAGGAAGCUUUGCCGAAGCCUUUGAUUGUUUGAGAAAUCAAGGGCUGGGCGUCAGGAGAAUAUCCUGCCGACUGUCGCAACAGCGGAGGGCUAUC
rnacentral:ncRNA from 1 species